rnacentral:rRNA from 1 species
AACGAACGCUGGCGGCAGGCCUAACACAUGCAAGUCGAGCGAAGCCUUCGGGCUUAGCGGCGGACGGGUGAGUAACGCGUGGGAACGUGCCCUUUGGUACGGAAUAGCCCCGGGAAACUGGGAGUAAUACCGUACGUGGUCGAGAGACGAAAGAUUUAUCGCCAAAGGAUCGGCCCGCGUUGGAUUAGGUAGUUGGUGGGGUAAUGGCCUACCAAGCCGACGAUCCAUAGCUGGUUUGAGAGGAUGAUCAGCCACACUGGGACUGAGACACGGCCCAGACUCCUACGGGAGGCAGCAGUGGGGAAUCUUAGGCAAUGGGGGAAACCCUGAUCUAGCCAUGCCGCGUGAUCGAUGAAGGCCUUAGGGUUGUAAAGAUCUUUCAGUGGGGAAGAUAAUGACUGUACCCACAGAAGAAGCCCCGGCUAACUCCGUGCCAGCCGCCGCCGUAAGAC